CGGCGAACGGGUGAGUAACGCGUAGGAAUCUGCCUGAUAGUGGGGGAUAGCCCGGCGAAAGCCGGAUUAAUACCGCAUACGACCUACGGGUGAAAGCGGGGGACCGAAAGGCCUCGCGCUAUUGGAGCGGCCGAUGGCUGAUUAGCUAGUUGGUGAGGUAAAGGCUCACCAAGGCGACGAUCCUUAGCUGGUCUGAGAGGACGAUCAGCCACACUGGAACUGAGACACGGCCCAGACUCC
rnacentral:rRNA from 1 species